UAACGAUGUCAACUAGCUGUUGGGGCCGUUAGGCCUUAGUAGCGCAGCUAACGCGUGAAGUUGACCGCCUGGGGAGUACGGUCGCAAGAUUAAAACUCAAAGGAAUUGACGGGGACCCGCACAAGCGGUGGAUGAUGUGGAUUAAUUCGAUGCAACGCGAAAAACCUUACCUACCCUUGACAUGUCUGGAAAGCCGAAGAGAUUUGGCCGUGCUCGCAAGAGAACCGGAACACAGGUGCUGCAUGGCUGUCGUCAGCUCGUGUCGUGAGAUGUUGGGUUAAGUCCCGCAACGAGCGCAACCCUUGUCAUUAGUUGCUACGCAAGAGCACUCUAAUGAGACUGCCGGUGACAAACCGGAGGAAGGUGGGGAUGACGUCAAGUCCUCAUGGCCCUUAUGGGUAGGGCUUCACACGUCAUACAAUGGUCGGGACAGAGGGUCGCCAACCCGCGAGGGGGAGCCAAUCUCAGAAACCCGAUCGUAGUCCGGAUCGCAGUCUGCAACUCGACUGCGUGAAGUCGGAAUCGCUAGUAAUCGCGGAUCAGAAUGUCGCGGUGAAUACGUUCCCGGGUCUUGUACACACCGCCCGUCACACCAUGGGAGUGGGUUUCACCAGAAGUAGGUAGCCUAACCGCAAGGGGGGCGCUUACCACGGUGGGAUUCAUGACUGGGGUGAAGUCGUAACAAGGUAGCCGUAUCGGAAGGUGC
rnacentral:rRNA from 1 species